GCUUGCUUGAAGUGCUUUUGCAGUUAACCGAGUGUUCUUGCUUUUACACUUCAUAAAAGUGGUUAUUUCAAGAGAAGUGGUGAUUUUCUGUACUUCUAUGUGAAAUGCAUUGCAGGCACAAUGUGGCAAUUUCCGUACAUAUACCCUGCUUCCCGUUACCUCUCUAUGAAUAGCAGUGAAGAUCUUCAGGGGGCAAAGCAGAGCUGUGGCAAGUGAAGGAGUGGAUUGGAAUGAUGCAUUUUGUAUUGAGUGAAGGUACUGAUACAGUGAAAAGGGCAAAGUAAUGGAUGUUUACAUAUCAUUGAAAUAUAAGUUGAUUAUGGUGUAUGGGAUCUUGUUAUGACAUAAUUACAUGGCAUUUAAGAUUUUGGCUUUGCCCCUGGCUGAAAAAUAUCUGUGAAUGACCCUUUAUACAUGCCUUCCAG